AGCUUUGCGCAGUGGCGAUAUCGUAACCAAUGAGGUUCUACCGAGGUGCGAUUAUUGCUAGUUGAAAACUUUUACCAAUACCCCGCCAUGACGAUGUGAAAUACCAUCGGCUACGGCAAUUUUUGAAAGUUUCUGCGGAAA
rnacentral:snRNA from 11 species